rnacentral:rRNA from 1 species
AAAGGCGCAAGCCGAGUACAGUGGCGGACGGGUGAGUAACACGUGAGCAAGCUGCCCUAGAGACGGGGAUAACCAUGGGAAACUGUGGCUAAGACCCGAUGGCGCUGCUGGACCGCAUGGUUUGGCAGAUAAAUGUGGGGGACCCUUCGGGGCCUCAUGCUUUAGGAGGCGUUCACGGCCUAUCAGCUAGUUGGCGGGGUAACGGCCCACCAAGGCGAAGACGGGUAGCCGGCCUGAGAGGGUGGUCGGCCACAUUGGGACUGAGACACUGCCCAGACUCCUACGGGAGGCUGCAGUCGAGGAUCUUCCGCAAUGGACGAAAGUCUGACGGAGCGACGCCGCGUGGAGGACGAAGGCCUUCGGGUUGUAAACUCCUGUCAAGGGUUAUGAAAGUACAGUCGUUAACAAUGGCUGGGAUGACGUAAGCCCUGGAGGAAGCACCGGCUAACUCUGUGCCAGCAGCCGCGGUAAUACAGAGGGUGCAAACGUUGUUCGGAAUCACUGGGCAUAAAGCGUAUGUAGGCGGCUCCGUAAGUGUCGGGUGAAAUCCCACGGCCUACCCGUGGAACUGUUCGGCAUACUGCGGAGCUAGAGGAUGGUAGAGGAGAGCGGAACUCUUGGUGGAGCGGUGAAAUGCGUAGAUAUCAAGAGGAACACCGG